GUGAGGAAUAUUGGUCAAUGGGCGAGAGCCUGAACCAGCCAAGUAGCGUGCAGGAUGACGGCCCUAUGGGUUGUAAACUGCUUUUACACGGGGAUAAAGUGUGCGACGUGUCGUUCAUUGCAGGUACCGUGCGAAUAAGGACCGGCUAAUUCCGUGCCAGCAGCCGCGGUAAUACGGAAGGUCCGGGCGUUAUCCGGAUUUAUUGGGUUUAAAGGGAGCGUAGGCCGUCUGUUAAGCGUGUUGUGAAAUGUAGAUGCUCAACAUCUGAAUUGCAGCGCGAACUGACCGACUUGAGUGCGCAGGAAGUAGGCGGAAUUCGUGGUGUAGCGGUGAAAUGCUUAGAUAUCACGCAGAACUCCGAUUGCGAAGGCAGCUUACUAAGCUACAACUGACACUGAAGCACGAAAGCGUGGGGAUCAAACAGGAUUAGAUACCCUUGUAGUCC
rnacentral:rRNA from 1 species